rnacentral:rRNA from 1 species
AUUGAACGCUGGCGGCAUGCCUUACACAUGCAAGUCGAACGGUAACAGGUCUUCGGAUGCUGACGAGUGGCGAACGGGUGAGUAAUACAUCGGAACGUGCCUAGUAGUGGGGGAUAACUACUCGAAAGAGUGGCUGAUACCGCAUGAGAUCUACGGAUGAAAGCAGGGGAUCGCAAGACCUUGUGCUACUAGAGCGGCCGAUGGCAGAUUAGGUAGUUGGUGGGAUAAAAGCUUACCAAGCCGACGAUCUGUAGCUGGUCUGAGAGGACGAUCAGCCACACUGGGACUGAGACACGGCCCAGACUCCUACGGGAGGCAGCAGUGGGGAAUUUUGGACAAUGGGCGAAAGCCUGAUCCAGCAAUGCCGCGUGCAGGAUGAAGGCCUUCGGGUUGUAAACUGCUUUUGUACGGAACGAAAAGCUCUGGGUUAAUACCCUGGGGUCAUGACGGUACCGUAAGAAUAAGCACCGGCUAACUACGUGCCAGCAGCCGCGGUAAUAC